GAUGAACGCUGGCGGCGUGCCUAAUACAUGCAAGUCGAGCGAACAGACGAGGCGCUUGCUCCUCUGACGUUAGCGGCGGACGGGUGAGUAACACGUGGAUAACCUACCUAUCAGACUGGGAUAACUUCGGGAAACCGGAGCUAAUACCGGAUAAUAUAUUGAACCGCAUGGUUCAAUAGUGAAAGACGGUUUUGCUGUCACUUAUAGAUGGAUCCGCGCCGCAUGAGCUAGUUGGUAAGGUAACGGCUUACCAAGGCAACGAUGCGUAGCCGACCUGAGAGGGUGGUAGGCCACACGGGAGCUGAGCCACGGUCCAGGCUCCUACGGGAGGCAGCAGUAGGGAACCGUCCGCAAUGGGCGAAAGCCUGACGGAGCAACGCCGCGUGAGUGAUGAAGGUCUUCGGAGCGUAAAACUCGGUUAUGAGGGAAGAACAAAUGUGUAAGUAACUAUGCACGUCUUGACGGUACCUAAUCAGAAAGCCACGGCUAACUACGUG
rnacentral:rRNA from 1 species